GGGGAAUUUUGGACAAUGGGCGCAAGCCUGAUCCAGCCAUGCCGCGUGUCUGAAGAAGGCCUUCGGGUUGUAAAGGACUUUUGUCAGGGAAGAAAAGGCUGUCGCUAAUACCGACAGUUGAUGACGGUACCUGAAGAAUAAGCACCGGCUAACUACGUGCCAGCAGCCGCGGUAAUACGUAGGGUGCGAGCGUUAAUCGGAAUUACUGGGCGUAAAGCGAGCGCAGACGGUUACUUAAGCAGGAUGUGAAAUCCCCGGGCUCAACCUGGGAACUGCGUUCUGAACUGGGUGACUAGAGUGUGUCAGAGGGAGGUAGAAUUCCACGUGUAGCAGUGAAAUGCGUAGAGAUGUGGAGGAAUACCGAUGGCGAAGGCAGCCUCCUGGGAUAACACUGACGUUCAUGCUCGAAAGCGUGGGUAGCAAACAGGAUUAGAUACCCUGGUAGUCCACGCCCUAAACGAUGUCAAUUAGCUGUUGGGCAACUUGAUUGCUUAGUAGCGUAGCUAACGCGUGAAAUUGACCGCCUGGGGAGUACGGUCGCAAGAUUA
rnacentral:rRNA from 1 species